rnacentral:rRNA from 1 species
GAUGAACGUUAGCGGGAGGCUUAAUACAUGCAAGUCGAGCGGUAAGUUUUUAUAGCAAUAUGAAGACCUAGAGCGGCGCACGGGUGAGUAACGCGUACACGACCUGGCCUAAACUGGGGGAUAGCCUUGGGAAACUGAGAGUAAUCCCGCAUGUGAUUAUGUUACUGAUGGUGAUAUAAUUAAAGCUUCGGCGGUUUAGGAUGGGUGUGCGUCUGAUUAGCUAGUUGGUAGUGUAACGGACUACCAAGGCGAUGAUCAGUAGGGGGCGUGAGAGCGUGACCCCCCCACACGGGUACUGAGACACGGACCCGACUCCUACGGGAGGCAGCAGUAAGGAAUAUUGGUCAAUGCCCGGAAGGGUGAACCAGCCAUCCCGCGUGAAGGAUGAAGGGGCUCUGCCUUGUAAACUUCUUUUGUAUGGGGCGAAAAAAGGGGUUUAUCCUCGACUGACGGUACCAUAAGAAUAAGCACCGGCUAACUCCGUG